AGCCCAGGGUGCUGUCCCCGAGCUACUGCGCAAAGUCCUCAUGGCCUACGACACGAUGAUCCAGACGAGCCGUACUCUGAUCGAGUCAGCAGAUAGUGUCUACUCCAAACUUACCCAGUCACAACGAGCAGGGCCAGGCAGACUUGCUGAAGCACGCCAAAUCCGAGGCGAUGGACACGCUGAGGCAGAUCCACUACGCUGCUCACUCUUGCGGCCUGGCCAAGAAUGGAGCCUCUACAUCGCCGGCCUCGCCUUUGCUGCCUCCUUACCCACGGCUCCUCGGAGCCUUACACACCAUCCCUGAGACAGACUACCACAGCACAGACACAAAUACCCUACACUGAUAUAUAGAUAUAUAUAUACAGUACACACCGAGCGAGAGACAGAGAGAACGAGAAGAGGGAGGGAGCGAGACAGGACAGGUGACCUUGGAAAGGUGGGAACAAAGCAAUGACUUCAAGGACACAGAGAUAGAGGGAGUAAAAAGCGAUAGAAGCGUUAGAAGAAAGGCAGGUCUGUACAGAUUGGUCCACAGUUCUGUCCCUUCAGCUAGUUGCUAGACGAGUGGAAAGCCAAGGACUCCACUAGCUCUGAGGAAUCUGUAAUGAGAAGAUGGA
ensembl:lncRNA